AUAUCAAUAAGCGGAGGAAAAGAAACUAACGAGGAUUCCCCUAGUAACUGCGAGUGAAGCGGGAAAAGCUCAAAUUUAAAAUCUGGCGGUCUCUGGCCGUCCGAGUUGUAGUCUGGAGAAGCGUCUUCGACGCCGGACCGUGUACGAGUCCCUUGGAACAGGGCAUCAUAGAGGGUGAGAAUCCCGUCCAUGACACGGACCGCCGGCGGUUUGUGAUGCGCUCUCGAAGAGUCGAGUUGUUUGGGAAUGCAGCUCAAAAUGGGUGGUAAAUUCCAUCUAAAGCUAAAUACUGGCGAGAGACCGAUAGCGAACAAGUACCGUGAGGGAAAGAUGAAAAGCACUUUGGAAAGAGAGUUAAACAGUACGUGAAAUUGCUGAAAGGGAAACGCUUGAAGUCAGUCGCGUCGGCCGGGGCUCAGCCUUGCUUUUCUGCUCGGUUUACUUCCCGGUUCGACGGGCCAGCGUCGAUUUCGAUCGUCGGAGAAGGGUCAGAGGAAAGUGGCACCCUCGGGUGUGUUAUAGCCUUUGGUCGGAUGCGGCGGUCGGGAUCGAGGAACGCGGCACGCCUUUAAUGGCCGGGGCAUUCGUGCCCACGUAUCGUGCUUAGGAUGCUGGCGUAAUGGCUUUAAACGACCCGUCUUGAAACACGGACCAAGGAGUCUAACGUGCCUG
rnacentral:rRNA from 1 species